AAGGGCUUAUGACCAGACCUUUGCCUUGCGGAUCAUCCGGUGUUCUCACCGGUGCACUCCGCUUGGUUGAGGCCAGCAUCAGUUUUGGCGGCGGGAUAAAGACUUUAGGAAUGUGACUCCCCCGGGAGUGUUAUAGCCCACCGUGUAAUACCCUGGGGGGGACUGAGGUUCGCGCAUCUGCAAGGAUGCUGGCGUAAUGGUCAUCA
rnacentral:rRNA from 1 species